rnacentral:lncRNA from 1 species
UUCCUUGUAAUGAAAACACAAAGUUAUAUGAAAUAGAAUGACACUUGCUACUCCAGUUAACUCCACUCUGUACCUGGGGGUUCUGACUCCAUAUGUGGUUUUGGCGGUGUGUUGCUGUGCUAGAUCCUUCCACAUUCAACAAGUGGCAGACUAUGUAAAAGCCUCCAGGCCUCUUUUGGACCUCAGAUGAAGGGCUGGGACUGUCAGUCCCUGACAGUUUCUGGAUUCUUCAGCAUUAUGCCCCAAAGCUGGCAGCCUUCUGGUUGGACUACAGCCAGGUCAGAUACAGACUUCCUUUGCUGUUAGGCUUGGCCUAUACCCCUAUUGCCUGCCUGCCGCCGCCGUAUAGGCAGAAGCAGCUCCCAAAUCUUCCCUUUCCCAUCCAUCCUGCCUUCUUCAGGUUAACUAGGUCAUUUCAGACAGUGUCCCAAGGUAGGAAGGCUUGAGCUCAAGAGGCUAACUUCUUCCUGCUGAGUGCUAACUGCAGCUAGAAGAGUAAUUCCUAUAGCUCUGUAUCAAGAUGCUUCUUCUUUUGUGACUGCCAUGCUCUUCAGGCUUUAUUUAGGACUGUUAAUGUCAUGUACGCUAUUUACUGGUCAAAUUAAGACUAUUAUUAUAGAGUCACUGAAAGUCUUGAUUUUAAAGAUAACUUCAUGUUUUAGGAAAAUAAUCAUGAUUUAAUGUUUGGGGGGCAAGCAGGAUACAGAACUAUGUCAAGCUGUGUGAGCUCAUUGUGGCAGACAUCAUGUGGGAUUUGGGCUGCUCAGUAUCUAAACUCCCUUCCCAGGUUUAAGGAAUUUCCCACCAUGUGAUUCUACAUGUGCAGUGAAGGCCCCCUACCUUUAGAGAAGCAAAGAAUUAAGAGGCCUUUCUGUCACUGCUCCCUGACAGCUGGGGCAGGCAUGUGGCCUUGACUCAAUUAAGCACCCACCCAGACUUGGAAUUGGGGACCAGCGAUUCACAGAAGCAAGGACUAUGGAAACUCCAUCCUAUCAGUGAAGGUGACACAGUUACCAGGGCAGCAGGGCUGUCAGGGCCAGCAGAACCAGCAUUGGCCUCUGGGCUGGCAAUGUUAGAAGUACCAGCUUUGGUGAAAGUCUUUAGUGUGGGAGCCUCACUGGAAUAAUUCCAUGGCAGUAUCUGGCCUCUGGUUCUGUUUCAGUUAUUGUAUUUUGCAUCUCUUCUUGCUU